rnacentral:rRNA from 1 species
AGUAAUGUAUGGGGAUCUGCCCGAUAGAGGGGAAUAACUACUGGAAACGGUGGCUAAUACCGCAUAAUGUCUACGGACCAAAGCAGGGGCUCUUCGGACCUUGCACUAUCGGAUGAACCCAUAUGGGAUUAACUAGUAGGUGGGGUAAAGGCUCACCUAGGCGACGAUCUCUAGCUGGUCUGAGAGGAUGAUCAGCCACACUGGGACUGAGACACGGCCCAG